UCUCUCUCUCUCUCUCUCUCUCUCUCUCUCUCUCUCUCUCUCUCUCUCUCUCUCUCUCUCUCUCUCUCUGUGAGGGAGGACUGAGCCUGUCUGUGUGAGAGCAUUCCACUGUCUGCUCAUCUGUCGGUACAUCGCCUCUGUCCUCUGAUAACAUUGUGUGUGUGUGUGUGUGUGGUGGGGGGUUAAAAGGCUGUGUCAAAUAAUGUACGCUUCGAUCGAGAUUCAAAUAUUAUCACCAAUUGGUUAUUUUUGUUAAUUAUUGAUAUUUAUUGACAGGUUUGUCGAGUUCCAGAGAACUCUGUCGUGCAAACCUUAUAUCAAACAUGUGUUUGAGUAUUUAUUCAUCCAAAGUCAUGACCGUAAGCCAUACUAACUUAUUUGUUAAUGAGUGUGUCAACGAUAUACAGGGGACGACCGGACUGGUGCCACCGGUUGUAACUGGUUUUAACUGGAUAAUCAAGAGUGCCCGUGGGCGGUUUUUAAAAUAUGAAUAUUGCACAAAGUGAUGUGUAGAUGUAGUACUAUAGCGUUACACUCUCCGGACUAAAGUAGUUCCUCCGCAUCAUGUGACCUACGGUGGUCACCCUGGCAACGGGGAGGGAUGAUGACCCCCAGGCUCACCUCUGUGACCGAGCAGUCGGUGUGGAUCCUAAUCCGAAUGGAAGUGUGUGUGUGUGUGUGUGUGUGUGUGUGUGUGUGUGUGUGUGUGUGUGUGUGUGUGUAAGAGAGUGUGUAAUAACACACACUAUCCACGCCUCAAGCAAAGUAGAGUCCUUGUUUAUGAAUUAUAAAUACUUGACAGAAAUUAUUUAUUGUCACGUUAACUUAAUCGCCCAGGAAUCCGUAUGGAUUUUAAUUUCAACGGUGGACAUUGUUGUGUUGUGAAGAAACAGAUAUGUAACUGUACUGUCACAAGGAAAGAAUGUAACAUGUGAAGGUUUUGCAUUGUACAUAACUGUAAUUAUUUCAGUUUAUUCUUUAAUUUGUAUCAUACCAAUUCUUUGUACAGUGUUCUCUUCUGUUGGUUUGAAAUUAUUUUGUAUUAUUUUUAUAAACGGGUUAUAAAUAAUAAAAUACUCAUUCAGCAUGCAGAAAAACUA
ensembl:lncRNA